CCUGAUCCCUGAUUCAAAAGGAAUUUUUGAUUACGUUAUAUGAAUGAGUUUGAUAGGAGUCACCAUGGUGAGGAAAGGAUAAUGGAAUUUCAGGCUCUUUGGUGGUGUUGUAUAUACCAACAGUUCUUUCUGUGUGGAUUUAUUGUGGCAAUGAAGAGUGGGAAACUGCUAAUUUAUAUCACACCAGUAAAGUGCUCACAUCCUUUCAUGGAAGGGCUCCUGUACAUUGCUGCAUCAGAGGUCCAGGUGUGGGUACAAAUGUAGAGGGCUCUAAAUGCAUGCAGUUUGAAGGGUAUUUAUGUUACAAGUGUGGUAUAUAGAAACCCAGAUCUACAUGAUGUUCAGAUCUUUUUGAUGAUAAUAUGUCACUGUGCUUCAUACUGGUAUUCUCUAUGAAAGCGAUAAAAACAUCAAAUGUUGGGAAUUCAUUUAGAAAUAAAUACAAUAUUAGAAAGUAAAAAUGAUAAAGAUACAUUAAAUAUUUCAUCCUCUACAGAAAUAAACCAGCUACAGUUCAGGGAGCUUCACUAAACACAUUAAGUCUAAUAAAAUCGCCUACACGUACUCCUGACACUAGUAGUAAUUAAAAUAACUUGUUUCAAAAAACUGGUCCUAUACAUGAAUACUUAUUGGCAAUUAUUUCUAAGUUCUUCAAACCAAAGAUAACGUAAUUUGAUUCACACACAAUGUUCUUGUAAACGUGGUUCAUACUGGGUUUUAUAUGCAGCUUAGGACUGUUAAUUGCCAUUUUGAGCCUCACAGUAAAAUAGAGUUCAAUAUGUCACUUUUUCUGAAGUAUUGAGAAAUGUUUGAGAAAUGCUUGUCUUAGUCUAAUCAACUGUGAAUAAUUUAUUUCUGAGUCCUACUUUUCAGUAUAAGUGGAUCUGACUUUUCUCAGAGCUUCUGAAGUCUAAUCAACUUGUUACAUUCAUUUAAUUAGGGAAAUCUGUAACGAACUGUGAAGUGUAUGUACCAACAGGCUUUUUUUGUUGUGUAAAAUUGCUGUAUUUUCAUUGUGAGUGUAAUUGUGUUUGUUUAUACUGACAGGUAGCCUCCACCAAACAAAUACAUUUUUUUUCUACAUGUAUAGGUCAAUAUGAAUAGCGUACAAACUGUUUUCUGAACUGCCUCUCUCCUGGUGGACACACCACCCAGGUUCCCAAAUUCAUGCAGCUGUAGCUUUCGGGCAAUUCUCAUUUUUGGAAGGGUUACAUGUACCUAAGUGUUCUUCUGUGCUUCAGAGAGAAGGAAGAUGUAAUAGAGGUGUGACAUAGAAGAGUGGGGAUAAGAGACUGACUUUUUUAGUCACAGUUAACCUGAAAAAGGUCAUCACAGUAGAAGAUUAAAACACUGACACAAGCUUGCGGUCAGGAUCUUGCACGCCACAGAGUUGCCAAGAGGAGCGCAGAAGGGUGAGCUAAGGAUGCUGAGUGAAAGUCCAGUCUGUGUUUCGCAGCCCAAAGUAAUUUGUUCUCAUUUUUCUGAGAAAUCAGCAUCAUUGGAAGGAGGUAGCUGGUAAAAUAAAGGGCUCCUACAUCAUAUAUGCAUUUUUUAAAAAAUGACCCUAUAUCUAUUUGUUAAUGAAUGUUUAGAAGUCCAGUAUUCCUCCCAUCAUUAUGUGACAUGAGGAACAUUUUUUAUUAAAAAUAAAGAGGUGCUGUGGGGAUUGACACAUUAUUUUCUCCUUAUGCUCAGACAAACUCUUCAGCCUCAGAGAAAAGGUCCUUGACCCUGGUCUAAAACACUGUCCAGUCCUUAUGGGAUGUAAUACGAAAAUCAUCAAAACUGUCCUUGGCAGGAUGUUUCUCUCCAUUAGUUGAUUAAAAUGGUUUAUUGUUGCCUAUA